CCAACCCUCUGUCUCCAGUGACCCUGACCUCUGUCCUCCAGGUGACCAUUGGAGCCUCAUACUCAACAUGUCCUGGCAUGAACUCUGCCCCUCUCUGCCCAGUCUCUCGAGAAGGUGACAGGAACGGAUGCUGGUCACCAGCCGGCCACAUGGGGCAUGCAGAGGGACAGCAAACAUGCUACCGCCUAGACCAGGAGGAGGCCAAGCCACUGGCUCCACACUGUUCCCUUGACAUGCUAGAUUGUGACAGAGGGUCGGCCAGAUUGAGAUGUCACCGAUGCCUUGCUGCAGUCCAGGACGAGGAGGGGGCCCAGAGCCACACUGAGAGGUGGAGGGAGCAAGCAGGGCUGGCCUGGUCCUGGGCCCUGAGAGGCAGCAGGAAGGCUCACUUCCGGGAAGGUCUCUGGGACUAAUUGUGACCUUAGGCAGGAAAGCGUCCAGGUGAUCCGGUCUAACGUGCUGGAACUCAGAACCAUUCAACCAUCUCUGCAGACCCCAGACCACAGUCCACAGGCUUCUGAGGCCAGCUCCCCACUCACUCUUCAGCAUCAGCUCCCCCGCUCCCCUGGGAACUUCCAAGACACCCAGGCCUUGAACGUGUCUGGUCCCCCGGGGCCUGGU
rnacentral:lncRNA from 1 species